rnacentral:rRNA from 1 species
ACCUCUGCAAUAGGCGAAAGCCUGACAGGGUUACUCUGAGUGGUUUCCGAUAAGGAGAUCUUUUGGCACCUCUAAAAAUGGUGCAGAAUAAGGGGUGGGCAAGUCUGGUGUCAGCCGCCGCGGUAAUACCAGCACCCCGAGUGGUCGGGACGAUUAUUGGGCCUAAAGCAUCCGUAGCCGGUCCAGCAAGUCCUCCGUUAAAUCCACCUGCUUAACAGAUGGGCUGCGGGGGAUACUACUGGGCUAGGAGGCGGGAGAGGCAAGCGGUACUCAGUGGGUAGGGGUAAAAUCCUCUGAUCCACUGAAGACCACCAGUGGCGAAGGCGGCUUGCCAGAACGCGCUCGACGGUGAGGGAUGAAAGCUGGGGGAGCAAACCGGAUUAGAUACCCGGGUAGUCCCAGCCGUAAACGAUGCAGACUCGGUGAUGGGCUGACUUUAUGUCAGCCCAGUGCCGCAGGGAAGCCGUUAAGUCUGCCGCCUGGGGAGUACGGUCGCAAGACUGAAACUUAA